UUGAGGAUCAAGUUAGCCCCCGUUUUGUUGCCAGGUUUAGACCAAACAACGUGCGGGGGUUUUCU
rnacentral:antisense_RNA from 2 species